CAGGCCUUAAAAUUUAUGCUGAAGUAAUCUUUUAUUAAAACAAACUGGAGUUUGGAUAGAUAUUUUAAUACGUUCAUUAUAUCACAGAUUUUAUCAAAUUAAAAACAGUUUUAAAAAAAGGCAAUAAUUAGUAAACAUGUUUAACUAAAAGGUUAUAUAAAAAGGACAAUCUACAAUGACUUAAAUAAGAAGAAAAGAAAGGAGAACGAUUUUCCCUCUGAAGAACUGCUCAACUGCAUUUCCCAUACUCCUCCCUGAGGAACUAGCCAAUCAGUGAGCCCCAUUUCCUGGAAACUACUUCCUGUUUGGUACUUCCUGUCAGCGAAAUCGCCACGGUUAACAUAGAGGAUUUUAAAAUCAUAAUCAUCCAUAGGGUAAGAAGUAAAAAUAUUUCCCCAAACAUACUUUAAUUGAUUACUGCGGGGGUUAAGUGUCUGAUGAUGUUCAUAUUGCUGUGUUACACGUUGUAGAAUAGCGAAAGCAGCAGACAACGGCCGCAAACAAGUAAAAUGAUUUAAACACGUUUCAACGGUCUGUUGGUUCUGGAGCACGGAGACGACUGACAAAUCCGGCGAUUGGUGCCGAUUUGGGGUUGGAGGAAUAAAAUUGAGCAUUUACAGCUGAUAUGUGUGUCUGUGGGGCACCCAUCAACAUCUGCUACAGUCACUCACGCUGGACGCUGGGCAUGAGGCUGUUUCACACCUCCAGCAAGUCACCGAAUCCUGGCAUGACCUCACCUCCAGAAGGUCAGUACCCUAGCAAGGGCAUAACGCUCCCAUGAACAAUGUUUCCGCACCCUGGAAAAGUGGCCAAUGCUCAUGAACAGUGCUGAUCCCAAGCUGUCAGGAGACAUGACUGUAUGAACUUUCUGCAUACAUUGGAGCUGCAUACUUCAUCAAGUUUCUGACUCGUGGACUGAGACUUUGUCACUGAAGUGCUUCGCAGAGACAUGCCGUUCCAGCACAUGGGGGAAGGGAUGCUUACAUCCAUCCAUUUAGUGUUCUUCCAGACUGCAACAUUGAAGCUUUGAGUGCGAAGUCUAAACUCCAAUCUCCUUUCUGCCUGAUCUGCCGAAGAUGUCAGUCUGAGCCCAUCUCAGGAGUCACACAGACUGAUAAUAAACAUCUUUUAAGUUCCUGGGCAGAUGGAUCGGAGCUGGUUAAUAAUUCCUUAAGGCAGCCAAUUGAGCGCAUCCCAGUGCACAGGUUUGCGGUUUUGAAAAAUAUACUAAUAUCUAUUAAAUCUUUUGCUAUGUAACUGGUAUGUUCCUUUUAAACAUGAGUUUAGAUUCUAAUAUGUCCAGGACCAUAUUGCUCAUGAUUAAACAAUAGAAGGUGUAUUUUACCAUAUCCUCUAUGAGCAGAAAAUCCACUGGGGUGGGAAUAUUUUUAUGUGCUACACUCACAUUUAGGUUUCUGUGUGUUGUCUCUCUGUUUAACAACUGCAUGUCAUAAAUCUACCAAACAGAGUUGCUAUCAGCUUAGGAUUUCCUGGGGUGACGGUUUUACGUUUAUUACUCGAGGCCUUUCUCUGGUAAACACAGAUGUGUCCUGAGUGAGACAUUCUGUUUUUAAACAACAUAGGUUUGACGUAUCUGUUAGGUUAUUUCUUAUUAGCUGAAAAGUAGAGAGAUUUUUCUAUUUUACAUAUGACAGUUGCCAGCUAGAAUGUGCCAGACAUUCACCAGGAUUUGUUAUAUUACCAGGUAUUUUAAUCAGUUUAUAAAACAUGUUUUAUGUGUCAAUUUGCCCAGAUACACCACCCUGUCUCAGUAUGUAAAUAACUUGGGACAUCCAGAAUUCUCACAAAACUGACUUGUUGUGUGCAACUGAGGCCAUCAGUCUGCAGUCAUCAUUUCAUUUGGGUACACUGAUCUUACACUACCUUUGAAGGACCUCUUGCAGAUACAUGGUAUGAUGAAAUUUAAUUAUAUUUUGAUUUGGAUUCAGGAUACAGGGAAGUGGUUUUCCUACUUCAACAAAGACAAGUGUUUGCAGUUAAAUUGUCUCCACUUGACAACCAUAUACUGUUCUCGGUUGAUGUUUUUGUAACAAAAUGAUUUUUGUUCCAAGGAGGGAUAGUAGGAUAAAAUACAAAAAAACUACACAAAAUGGAAAGGGGAUACCGUUAAUUAACCUUGAUGAAGGGUUAUUUUGCAGGACCCCACGAGAGGUAUGUGACUGCGUUGUAAAUUAGAUAACGGUUGUUUAAAAAACCCCGAAAGAGCUCUCCCAUGGCUCUCUGAAUGUUUGUUCAGUCGACUCCUAAGAAACAGGCCGGGACCAUAAAUUAGAUUUAAUGGUCGAAGUGUCAGACAGAACGUAUCUGCUGGACAAAGACUCCAUAAGGGGGGUUAGCUCAGCACCUUCUAGGUUCUUGGAAACAGGCUUAAACAGUUUUGACAGUACAAAAAGUGAAUGUUAAAUAAAAUAGAGAAACUACAUAAACUAGGAAAAACUGCAUAAAAUAGAAAAACAGAGGGAAACUUAAUGUAUAUCUAACCUAGUUCUAUUAAAGACCCUGUUUAAAUAGGAUUCAAAGAUGGUACAUGUAAUAAAUGUAGUGUUUUUGUAGCUUUGGAGGCGAGGGUGUCAGAAUUGGAGAC